rnacentral:rRNA from 1 species
GGCUACAGGACGAACGCUGGCGGCGUGCCUAAUACAUGCAAGUCGAACGGCUUUUCUAUGGAAGCUUGCUUCCACUGAGAAGAUAGUGGCGAACGGGUGAGUAACACGUGGGUAACCUGCCCAUAAGAGGGGGGAUAACAUCCGGAAACGGGUGCUAAUACCGCAUAGUUUCUUGAUCGCAUGAUCGGGAAAGGAAAGACGGCCUUUGUGCUGUCGCUUAUGGAUGGACCCGCGGCGUAUUAGUUAGUUGGUGAGGUAACGGCUCACCAAGACGAUGAUACGUAGCCGACCUGAGAGGGUGAUCGGCCACAUUGGGACUGAGACACGGCCCAAACUCCUACGGGAGGCAGCAGUAGGGAAUCUUCCGCAAUGGACGAAAGUCUGACGGAGCAACGCCGCGUGAGUGAAGAAAGGGUUUUCGGAUCGUAAAACUCUGUUGUCAGAGAAGAACAAGUUGGAGAGUAACUGCUCCAGCCUUGACGGUAUCUGACCAGAAAGCCACGGCUAACUACGUGCCAGCCGCUGC